AGAGGGCUGGACUUCAGGCGGGGAGAACUGCCUCGCAGAAGAAAGUUCUCGCUUACAAACCUCUGUGUGCAUACAUGUACACGCACACGUACACACACCCUCUCACACACAGACCCACACACAGAUCCACUCUCAUGCACUCAACUAUAUUUAAAGUAUAUACGUCUAUUUCUUAUGCCUUGCCCUAGCCAGAUGAUAGAAGACAAGGAAGAAGGAAGCCAGGUGAACUCGGCAAGGCACUGGCUGCUGACCCCAGCGCUACUGGAUCACUUCCCAAUGUUGCCAAUGGAAAACAAAGCAAACGGAUGUCUGUCUCCAUGGUGGCCGCAGUCCAAGAGGCUUACAUAACUUCUCAGUGCAACGUGAUAAGAGAAUCCAACAUCUUAUGGUUGCAUAUGUGUAGCACUAAUGUUUCUUUUUAAAUAGUUGGGGGAGAUUGACCUAGAAAACCAAAUUGCAGUUUGGUAGCCAAACUUAACUCCUGGGUUAUUUGUCCUUUGUGUGUGAAAAGUCCUACUAUUCCGUACGUCAGACUUCCUCACAGAACUGUCGGUUGGUUUUGGUUCUUCUUAGGACCAGUGAGAUCUUUUGAAUUGCUACCAACGGCCUUAGCGGCAGCAGACUGUGGAUUUACACCUUACACCUUUCUGGCCUGCAUCUCUCUAGACUUUACUCUCGAGGGAGGAGUUUUCUUUUCUUACUUUUUUUGACUCUCGCACAUCAUAUGCACUAGGGAUUCUGAAAACUUCUAGCAUGACUGCAAAGUGGCCAAGAGAAUAAAAGUCCUUGAUGAUAAAUCACAGUAUACCCCUUGAGCCUCACCUUCUUGCCAGUGCUAGAUUUUUUCUUUUUAAAUCUCUCUGAUUUUUUGCUAAUGAAAACUUGAAAAAAAAAAAAAAGCUUAUUUGGAAGCUUAAAUGUUUUAUCUUUUCUCCGUGGACUAAACCUCUCCAGGACUCUCUCGGCACCUGGAUGUCUAGCUCUCGAAGCAGCCAAUCAGAUGGGACAUCAGAGUUCUCUCAUCCCUCCUUAAGGCGUGAUGACCUCAGCUCACAGUGAGCGGCUACUCUACUGUCCUUGCUACCCUAUAACUACUUACAGCAUAGAUCUCGCUAGUCUCAAAGGGCAGCUGCGUAUUUAAUCUAACUCUGGGUUAUGACCUGACAAAAAAGCCAAAAAUCUCACUCUUUCCAGGAGUGGGGGAGUCCGCGGAUGCCUCCCAAAUCUAGAGGCUUCACAAAACAUCAUCCCAUCCCUUCCCUCACUCACCCUCUGAGAUCAUGGUACCCACUUGUUAAAUGCAUACUUCAAAAUGCCAUUGUGGGAAUGAAGGUUGUCCAUUAAGGAAAGGGUGAAUGUGUCACUCUUAUGAUGUCUCUACGGGUGUUGGUGGGGGGGCGCUUUCUUUAGGGGGUACUGGUUCUUUUUGGCUAGACCCACCAUGGCUUGUGACCUAGAGCACCCAAGAUCAACAGAGGCCUCAUAUUUACCCUGAAAGCUGAUUCCAAGGGAUUUAUAUUGCUCACUUGCAUAUCACACACACACAUCCAAUGUUGGUUUCUAUCUUCCCGAAUUCUUAGCUAGCUGGCACUGGCCUAAACUCCAAAGACUGCCUUUAGGACCAUUAACUGGCCUAUGCAAGCAAGCGGGGUGGGUAUUAAGGCAGAUUGUAUAUUUUGUAUAUUCUGGGACCAUCCCUUCAAGACGCGUCUAACAAACAAAAGUGGCGUUUGGUCCGUACAAGGUUGCUGCACCCUCAUACCAGCUGGCUCCCUCCUGCCCUCCUCUGACUGUUUUAUCCACUGACUGUUAAAAUGCCGCCCAUACAUAUUUGGGAUGCAAAACUGAAGUCUUUUAAAAGAAAUAAUAAUAAUAAUAUAAGCAACACAAACACAUAUGACAGCAACCUUCAAGAUCCUUGGCACUUGGGUUCUCAGCUUUCUACGGCUUUGGUUUUACUGAAAUGUUGAAUCUACUUGUCUGAGGGUAAAGGGACCGCUUUGUCACAAAUGCUAUAGCUUCCAGUUGGACAGUUGGGGCAUUUCGAGGUCUAGCCUUUAGAAAUUUCAUUUUUGUUUUACUUUUUUUUUCCAAUUUAGACCAAAAAGAAAAAAAGAAAAGAAACCAUUGUAAACACACACGUGUGCGCACGGGUGCAUACACACACACACACACACACACAUACUCCAUUUGCCAGAAGCAAUUAUGUAUAUGUUAGUUGGAGGGUAUUAAAGAAAAAAGAAAUCUGAUUUAUUCCAAAGAUUUAAAAGUGGACAUGACUUAGAAACUGCUCUGGAGCACUGCUUGCUGACAAUCUCGUUCUCUACUGCAAUCGAGUGCAUUCUGCAGCCAGUCCAUCAGGGCAUACCAUGGGAUUCUAUUUGAAUGUGUGCUGCAUCCUUUUUUUGGAUGAAGGACGUGUGAGGGACCUUGAACCUCAACUGUAUUGAACUGUAGCGCCUCCAGUCAGUGCACUAGAUGAAACUUUAGACUGCCCAAAUUCUGUUGGUUUGUUUCUCUCUUCCCAGUCUGUAGCAGUCAGUGUCCAGCAUGAAUGCACGCACACGCCAGGGAUGGCAUUAAGCCAUGGCUGCCACGAUUUACAGAUGUUCUCUCCCAGGCUGGAGCUGCUCUUACUCUCAAAUUGUCAUUACUAAGGUUUAUAGUACUUAAUUUAAUUUUUUUUUGUACUGACCAAUGCAAGGCUCUAUAAAAAAAG
rnacentral:lncRNA from 1 species